rnacentral:rRNA from 1 species
CCUACGGGGGGCAGCAGUGAGGAAUAUUGGUCAAUGGACGAGAGUCUGAACCAGCCAAGUAGCGUGAAGGAUGAAGGCCCUAUGGGUGGUAAACUUCUUUUAUAUGGGAAUAAAAUGUUCCACGUGUGGGAUUUUGUAUGUACCAUAUGAAUAAGGAUCGGCUAACUCCGUGCCAGCAGCGGCGGUAAUACGGAGGGUACGAGCGUUAUCCGGAUUUGUUGGGUUUAAAGGGAGCGUAGGGGGAUUGUUAAGUCAGUUGUGAAAGUUUGCGGCUCAACCGUAAAAUUGCAGUUGAAACUGGCAGGCUUGAGUACAGGAGAGGUGGGCGGAAUUCGAGGUGUAGCGGUGAAAUGCUUAGAUAUCACGAAGAACUCCGGUUGCGAAGGCAGCUCACUGGACUGCAACUGACACUGAGGCUCGAAAGUGUGGGUAUCAAACAGGAUUAGAUACCCUGGUAGUC